rnacentral:sRNA from 1 species
GGGACAGACAGUAUAAUGGCAAAUAGAGGAAGCGGGGCAGCCGGCAGCUCCCAGACUGGAGAUGCUCUGGGGAAAGCACUUGCUUCGGUGAGGAAAUAUUGACUUUGGACUCCAUAUGUACCGUUGUAAAGGGUGAACUUUAAUCAGAAGUGGACAUUUGGAAUUUUAGAAAAUGAAUGGCAAAUAGCUUUGAUUUUUGGAAAAUGCUAGCUUUCUUGCAUAACAGUCACUGGAAAAUUUGAGAAGGCUCUGAAGCUUCCAGUAUAUAGAUAGUCUCUUUCUGUCAUCCUCAAAAUGGUACUAAGCUGCACUCAAUUAUGGAUGUGGGAAUAUUCUCCUGGCCUUUGGGUUAUAGGUUUUUUAUACUGAUGUCUUACUUUUCUCUAAAGUAAUAUGGGUGCACAUUGACCAGCUAAGACUGUCUUAGCAAGGAAUAGUUCUAAAACACUUUGAAAGAGGCAUUUGA